UUUUAUAUUAUGAAACCCAUCUGCUCACAGA
rnacentral:piRNA from 1 species